rnacentral:rRNA from 1 species
UACAGAGGUCCCAAGCGUUGUUCGGAUUCAUUGGGCGUAAAGGGUGCGUAGGCGGCGCGGUAAGUCGGGUGUGAAAUCUCUGAGCUUAACUCCGAAACUGCAUUCGAUACUGCCGUGCUUGAGGACUGGAGAGGAGACUGGAAUUUACGGUGUAGCGGUGAAAUGCGUAGAUAUCGUAAGGAAGACCAGUGGCGAAGGCGGGUCUCUGGACAGUUCCUGACGCUGAGGCACGAAGGCCAGGGGAGCAAACGGG